CUUUGAUUUAUGAACCUCGAUGAACCCAUCAUCAAGAAAAUUACGAAUACCACUACAAGUUGGUCAACAACAGUACACCAACAACGUUUAUAAAAUAACUGAGAUACUACGUGCGCUCUCAUUGGUUGAUGGGUGUGUUAAGAUGAGGGUAAUGUGACUGAUCUUGAUUACCUGGAAAAAAAGUACUGUAAGAUGAACAACAACAUAAGAUUUCAUCCCCAGUGAAAUGGAA